rnacentral:lncRNA from 1 species
CUUAAUUAGGGAUGUCAAUGGGUAUGGAUACCCGAAAUUUAUCCGAACCUGAACCCGAAUGAAACAGAUAUAUCCGAUGGAUAUAGAUAUGGAUUUGGAUAUAAAUAUAAAAAAUAAAAACCCGACAGAUAUGGAUUCGGAUAUGAAUUUUGAUUGUACCCGACCCGAACCCGAACCCAAAUCCGAAUUUAUUUUGUAUUAUAUAAUAUAUAUAUAUAUAUAAAUUUGAUGUUAUAUUUGAAUUUGUAUUUUAAAAAUUUAAAUUUAAUAUAAUAUAUUUUGAAAUAUUGAAAAAAGAAAUAAUUGUUUCGGAUUCAAAUUUUCGGAUUCGGGUUCGGGUUUGGGUUUCAGAUUUUUGGUUGGGUUCGGGUUUGGAUAUAGAUUUUGUAAAUCCGUCGGGUUCAGGUUCGGGUUCAAGUUCGGGUCUCGGGUUUGGAGUCGGGUUCGGUUUCGGAUUUUUAAAAAUCCGCUCCGAAUCCGACCUGUUGACAUCUCUAGACUUAAUGGCCUCGACCGUUGUUCACCUCUUCCAACGACGUAAGACCGUUUCGUCUGUCAUUUAUUGCGAGAACAGUAUGAAUUCUAAAUCCGCAUAAGCAGCAAAUUGGGCGGCCUCACAUUGGAGACCGUUCCUACUCCUUUUUUCUCUACUGCCUAAUCGAUUAAGAUUAGAGUUGGCAAUCUAGCUCGUUGUUUGUGAAGUAAUUCGUGUUCGGCUCAAAAUGAGCUCGGGAUUGAUUGCUUGUUUAAUAAAAGAGUCAAAUACGAGCUGAAUUUUUCAGCUCAAGAUUUUAACGAACAAAACACGAGCUGGAUUCAACUCGUUUAACAAACGAGCCAACUCGUGUUCGGCUCAUUAAUAAACAAGCCGAACACGAGCUGAAUUUGUCAGCUCGAUAUUUUAAUGAGCUAGCUCGUGGUCGGCUCGUUUAACAAAUAAGCCAAACACAAGUCAGUCCCAGCUCACUCGUAUUCAGCUAGUUGACA